CAGCCGUAAACAAUGUGCGUUAGGUGUGUCGGUAACCACGCGUUACUGAUGCGCCGAAGAGAAAUCGUGAAACGCACCACCUGGGAAGUACGGUCGCAAGGCUGAAACUUAAAGGAAUUGGCGGGGGAGCACCACAACAGGUGGAGCCUGCGGUUUAAUUGGAUUCAACGCCGGACAUCUCACCGGAUAAGACAGCUGAAUGAUUGUCAAUCUGAAGGUUUUACAUGACUAGCUGAGAGGUGGUGCAUGGCGUGUGACUGU
rnacentral:rRNA from 1 species